rnacentral:rRNA from 1 species
CAGUAGCCGCGGUAAUACGAGGGGGGCAAGCGUUGUUCGGAAUUAUUGGGCGUAAAGGGUGCGUAGGCGGUUUGAUAAGUCUUGUGUGAAAUCUAUGGGCUCAACCCAUAGUCUGCACAGGAAACUGUCGGGCUUGAGAGUGGGAGAGGUGAGUGGAAUUUCCGGUGUAGCGGUGAAAUGCGUAGAUAUCGGAAGGAACACCUGUGGCGAAAGCGGCUCACUGGACCAUUUCUGACGCUGAUGCACGAAAGCUAGGGGAGCAAACAGGAUUAGAUACCCCCGUAGUCCCUGUCUCUUAUAC